ACGGGAGGCAGCAGUGGGGAAUAUUGGACAAUGGGGGCAACCCUGAUCCUGCGACGCCGCGUGAGUGAAGAAGUAUUUCGGUAUGUAAAGCUCUUUAAGCAGGGAAGACAAUGACGGUACCUGCAGAAUAAGCCCCGGCUGACUACGUGCCAGCAGCCGCGGUAAUACGUAGGGGGCAAGCGUUAUCCGGAUUUACUGGGUGUAAAGGGAGCGUAGACGGCAAUACAAGUCCGGAGUGAAAGCCCGUGGCUCAACUGCGGAACUGCUUUGGAAACUGUAUAGCUAGAGUGUCGGAGAGGUGAGUGGAAUUCCCAGUGUAGCGGUGAAAUGCGUAGAUAUUAGGAGGAACACCAGUGGCGAAGGCGGCUUACUGGACGAUAACUGACGUUGAGGCUCGAAAGCGUGGGGAGCAAACAGGAUUAGAUACCCUGGUA
rnacentral:rRNA from 1 species